rnacentral:rRNA from 1 species
CGAGCGUUGUCCGGAAUUAUUGGGCGUAAAGAGCUCGUAGGCGGUGUGUCACUUCGGCCGUGAAAACCUGCAGCUUAACUGUGGGCGUGCGGUCGAUACGGGCAUCACUGGAGUUCGGCAGGGGAGACUGGAAUUCCUGGUGUAGCGGUGAAAUGCGCAGAUAUCAGGAGGAACACCGGUGGCGAAGGCGGGUCUCUGGGCCGAUACUGACGCUGAGGAGCGAAAGCGUGGGGAGCAAACAGG